CAGCGCGGGGUGCAGCGCCGGCCGCCGGCCCCCGGGCUCGCGCGCGUUGCCAAGCGGCCGUUUCCUUAGCAACCUCGCCCGGGGACUGGGGAUGGAGAAGGGGGGGGGGGAAUUUAAAAAAAAAAGGAAAAGAAAAAAAUAAAGCAAGAAAAAAAGAAAAGAAAGACAAAAAAUAAAUCAGGAGGAACUGUAUGACAAUUAUGCAAACUGAGGGGAAGAGAGAGUAACCGUAGAAUGAAGGCUUUCCUUACUGUCGUAAGCGCUAGAGGGAUGCUUUGCUAGAAAAGUCUCCGUGUCGGGGCUGGGGUGAAGAGAGCUGAGGGGCGCUUUGCCUUCCCUCACCUGUGCGUUUUACCUCACGAGGCACCGUAAGUUUGAAGUCCUCCAAGUUGUGGUCGGCGCCAUCGUGACGCCGGCGACUGGAGCUAUUUUUUUCCUGUAAAUGAGGCACUUUAAUAUAAGCACACUUUUGCACUGUAAAGUGGAAGAGGAUUUGAUAUCGAUGUCUUCCAGGUUUUGGGGUACAUGUGAAGAACAGAAGAACAUGCAGGAUUGUUGCAUAGUCUACUCAACAUGAAGACAAGGAUGAAGACCUUUCUGAAGAUCCACAUCCACUUAAUGAAGAGUAGAUAUAUUUUCUCGUUCUUAUGAUUUUCUUCACAACAUUUUAUUUUUCUUACUUUAAGAAUACAGUAUAAUACACAUAUACACAAAAUGUGUUCAUUACUGUUCAUUUUUACCAUAAAGCUUUUGAUCAACAAUAGGUUAUUCAUGGUUAAGUUUUUAGGGGGUCAAAAGUCAAACAUGAAUUUUCAACUGUAGGAGGAGGUUUGCACCCCUAACCUUUGUGUUAUUGAAGAAUCAACUGCAUAUUGCCUGGCUAAGAGAAUUUCAAACUUGCCUAUUCUAUAUAAGAGGUUAGAAAUUCAGGUGUUAUAUUUGACUCUUCCCUCUACUUCAUUACUCCCAUCUGAUCAAUUAUAAAGUCCUAUUGAUACUAAACUUUAAAUAGAUCCUGAAUUUGCACAAUUCUGUCUUUUUUUGACUCUGCUGCCACUUCUCCUGUUUACACAAUCACCAUUUCUCAAGUAUAUUUUCCUUAUUGACUCCAAAACUUUUUCUGACCCUCUCAAAUUAAACCUAUACUCCCAACUGUAACCCAAGUAAUAAUACUAGCAACAAAUCAGAAAAAAUAUUAUAUGCAGAGAAAUUAAAAUGUCCUCACCACAGUUAUGAUUCCACAUAUGGCUGAGCCCCAGCAUAACUCCAAUAUCCUGUUUUGUUCCUCUCCUUAUACACAUACUGCACAUAGUGUAGUCCUCCAAAUGCUGUCUACCCUUUUUUACCUCCUGGUCUGCCUUAGUUCAUUUAGACUGCUUUAAUAACAUACUAAGAAGUUAUAAAUUGCCAAAAUCUAUUUCGCACAGUUCUGGAGGUUGUAAAGUUCAAGAUCAAGGCACUGGCAGAUAUGUUUCUGAUGAGGGCCCACUUUCUGUAUCAGAAAUUUCACUUUCUUUUUGUAUGUUCACAUGGUGGAAGUGAUGAGGAAUCUCUUUGGGGAUUCCUUUAUAAAGACACUAAUCUCAUUCACAAGGGUGGAGCCCUCAUGACAUAACCACUUCCUAAAGGCCCUACCUCAUUGAGGUUAGGAUUUCAAUAUAUGAAUUUGGAGUUUGAGGGGACAAACACAAAGAUCAUGACAUGAUGUUAUAUUUGCAUGUACUGUUCCCUGUACCUACAUUCCCCACUUAUCACUUGGCUAACCUCCUCUUCAAUUAGAACAUUAUGU